GGCUGUUGUGUCUACCUGCCAUAUACUAAAAUUGGAACGAUACAGAGAAGCUUGGCCCCUGCGCAAGGAUGACACACAAAUUCAUGAAGCGUUCCAUUUAAAA